rnacentral:lncRNA from 1 species
AAAAGUAAUAGAUUCUGAGGUGUUUAUAUAAUUAAGACACUUUAUAAUCACAAGAAGUUAAUCUACUCCCUCCCUCUCCUACCAUGAGUCUGCACACAAGAAAGUCUUUCAACUGUGGAUCCAGAGUCGCACUCGUUCUACUACUGUGUCUAUAUCAUUGCCGUUCGAGCCGUAGCCGCUUCAGACAACUACAAACUACAUGCACAAUUGACCAUUGUGCUCCUUGCGUAGCAUCACACUCUCACAGUUCCAACACCUCAAUCAAAACUUCAUCUCACAAACCAGCCUAAAAUACUCUCCGAAAAACCCCAGAAAGAGAAAAAACAUGGGUGUUCCUUCUUUCAUAUGUUUUCUCACUCUCCUCUCUCUCUCCUCCUCCUCCUCCCUCUCCUCUCCACCACCCACCACCA